rnacentral:rRNA from 1 species
GAUUAACGCUGGCGGCGUGCUUAACACAUGCAAGUCGAACGGGGUAUGAGACUUCGGUUUCAUACUUAGUGGCGGACGGGUGAGUAACGCGUGGGCAACCUGCCCUGUACCGGGGGACAACAGCUGGAAACGGCUGCUAAUACCGCAUAAGCGCACGAAACCGCGUGGUUUUGUGUGAAAAGAUUUAUCAGUACAGGAUGGGCCCGCGUCUGAUUAGCCAGUUGGCAGGGUAACGGCCUACCAAAGCGACGAUCAGUAGCCGAUCUGAGAGGAUGACCGGCCACAUUGGGACUGAGACACGGCCCAAACUCC